UCGCGAAUCAUUGACAAUGGGCGCAAGCCUGAUCAUGCCACGCCGCGUGCAGGAGGAAGGCCUUCGGGUUGUAAACUGCUGUCAGGAGGGGGGAAGUCUGACUGCCCUCCAGAGGAAGCCCCGGCUAAACACGUGCCAGCAGCCGCGGUAAUACGUGUGGGGCAAGCGUUGUUCGGAAUCACUGGGCAUAAAGGGUGCGUAGGCUGCAUGGCAAGUCAGGGGUGAAAGUCGUCGGCCCAACCGGCGAAUGGCCUUUGAUACUGCUGUGCUUGAGUGUGUUAGGGGUGAGCGGAACGAGUGGUGUAGCGGUGAAAUGCGUAGAUACCACUCGGAAGGCCGGAGGCGAAGGCGGCUCACUGGGACACAACUGACGCUGAGGCACGAAAGCGUGGGGAGCAAACA
rnacentral:rRNA from 1 species